rnacentral:rRNA from 1 species
AUUGAACGCUGGCGGCAUGCCUUACACAUGCAAGUCGAACGGUAACAGGUCUUCGGAUGCUGACGAGUGGCGAACGGGUGAGUAAUACAUCGGAACGUGCCCGAGAGUGGGGGAUAACGAGGCGAAAGCUUUGCUAAUACCGCAUACGAUCUCAGGAUGAAAGCAGGGGACCGCAAGGCCUUGCGCUCACGGAGCGGCCGAUGGCAGAUGAGGUAGUUGGUGGGGUAAAAGCUUACCAAGCCGACGAUCUGUAGCUGGUCUGAGAGGACGACCAGCCACCCUGGGACUGAGACACGGCCCAGACUCCUACGGGAGGCAGCAGUGGGGAAUUUUGGACAAUGGGCGCAAGCCUGAUCCAGCCAUGCCGCGUGCAGGAUGAAGGCCUUCGGGUUGUAAACUGCUUUUGUGCGGAACGAAAAGACUCUGGUUAAUACCUGGGGUCCAUGACGGUACCGUAAGAAUAAGCACCGGCUAACUACGUGCCAGCAGCCGCAGUAACAC